GGCGAACGGGUGACUAACACGUGAGAAAUCUGCCCUUGACUCUGCGAUAACUGCGGGAAACUGUAGCUAAUACCGGAUACUUUCCCUGGUGGGCAUCCACUGGGGAAGUAAGAAUUUCGGUCAAGGAUGAUCUCGCGGCCUAUCAGCUAGUUGGUGAGGUAACGGGUCACCAAGGCGACGACGGGUAGCGGGCCUGAGAGGGUGACCGGUCACACUGGGACUGAGACACGGCCCAGACUCCUACGGGAGUGCAGCAGAGGGGAAUAUUGCACAAUGGGCGCAAGCCUGAUGCAGCAACGCCGCGUGAGGCAUGACGGCCUUCGGGUUGUAAACCUCUUUUAGCAGGGAAGAAGCGAAAGUGACGGUACCUGCAGAAAAAGCACCGGCUAACUACGUGCCAGCAGACCGCGCUAAUACGUAGGGUGCAAGCGUUGUCCGGAAUUAUUGGGCGUAAAGAGCUCGUAGGCGGUUUGUCACGUCUGCUGUGAAAAUCCAAGGUUCAACCUUGGACUUGCAGUCGGGUACGGGCAGGCUAGAGUGCGGUCUGGGGGAGAUGGGAAUUCCUGGUGUAGCGGUGGAAUGCGCAGAUAUCAGGGACGCAACACCAAUGGGCGAAAGGCACAUCU
rnacentral:rRNA from 1 species